rnacentral:rRNA from 1 species
UUCCUACGGGGAGCAGCAGUGAGGAAUAUUGGUCAAUGGGCGGGAGCCUGAACCAGCCAAGCCGCGUGAGGGAAGAAGGUACAGCGUAUCGUAAACCUCUUUUGUCGGGGAACAAAGGGCGCCACGUGUGGCGUUGUGAGUGUACCCGAAGAAAAAGCAUCGGCUAACUCCGUGCCAGCAGCCGCGGUAAUACGGAGGAGGCGAGCGUUAUCCGGAUUUAUUGGGUUUAAAGGGUGCGUAGGCGGUCCGGAAAGUCAGCGGUAAAAGCCCGGGGCUCAACCCCGGCGAGCCGUUGACACUGUCGG